GCGGGGCUGGGGACGGGCUGCCCGCCAGAGAUGACACUGCUCGGGCUCCUUGCGGCGGGCUCUGCCCGGGUCACCGGCCGAGGCAGACGGGUGCGGCGAAGGCUGGCCAGUCACUGCCGAGCCUCGGCCUCAGGGCACCGUCCUGGGGGCUCUCGUGAGGACACGGCGGGGCCUCGGCCUCGCCAGGCGGAGGGAUCCGCGCGUCCAGGAAACACGGCGGGGCGCCGGGCCCGCAGGCGAGGAAGCGGGGCCCUCCGGGCCGCGUCUCAGGAGCGCCACGAGUCCCUAACUGAAGCCCCUGCGCUUUGGCAUCGUUGACAGACGUGUGGCCUUUGCCCUGACGAGUGGAAGGAGUUAAAGAAACUUGCUCACAGCAACAGGCGGAGUCAGGACUCGCGCCCAAGCAGUCCGAAUUCACUCCGUGCCCUCCGCCCUCGCGUACGGCCUCUGACCUCACGCCGGGUGCGCGUGCGCGUGCGCGGCGCGGCGCGGCGCGUCGAGCAGAAGCUCCCUCCUGGCUAGCAGCCCUGCGCCGACCCGCCGUGCUUCACCUGAGCCGCGCACAAGCGCAAGAUUGAUGGAUUCGAGAUUUAGCUCUUCUCCAGCCCAGCCUAUGCUGCUGAUUUUCUGAUUAACAGUAAAAUGCUUCAUUGCUGACAGGACAUUCUCUCAAAAGAUUAAGGGGAAAAAUCUAAUUAAUAUCCUUUCAGGCUGCUUUAACCACAACUCACUUCUAGUUCACAACUGGAAAAUAACUGGAAAGGAAGAAUGCAAUGACAUAUCCGGAAACACACAGCAUAGAAAGUGUGCACUUCACCCAGAGUUUUCAAGAGAUGAGAUCUCAUAUGUUGCCCAGAUUGGUCUCCAACUC